AUACGGAGGAUGCAAGCGUUAUCCGGAUUUAUUGGGUUUAAAGGGUGCGUAGGCUGUUCGGAAAGUCAGGGGUGAAAGCCCGGCGCCUAACGCCGGAACUGCCUUUGAUACUUCCGAGCUGGAAUACGGAUGCCGUGGGAGGAAUGAGUAGUGUAGCGGUGAAAUGCAUAGAUAUUACUCAGAACACCGAUUGCGAAGGCAUCUCACGAAUCCGUCAUUGACGCUGAGGCACGAAAGCGUGGGGAUCAAACAGGAUUAGAUACCCUGGUAGUCCACGCAGUAAACGAUGAUGACUAACCGUCGGCGAUACACAGUCGGUGGCCAAGCGAAAGCGAUAAGUCAUCCACCUGGGGAGUACGUUCGCAAGAAUGAAACUUAAAGGAAUUGGCGGGG
rnacentral:rRNA from 1 species